rnacentral:rRNA from 1 species
AUUGAACGCUGGCGGCAGGCCUAACACAUGCAAGUCGAGCGGAUGAAGGGAGCUUGCUCCUGGAUUCAGCGGCGGACGGGUGAGUAAUGCCUAGGAAUCUGCCUGGUAGUGGGGGAUAACGUCCGGAAACGGGCGCUAAUACCGCAUACGUCCUGAGGGAGAAAGUGGGGGAUCUUCGGACCUCACGCUAUCUGAUGAGCCUAGGUCGGAUUAGCUAGUUGGUGGGGUAAAGGCCUACCAAGGCGACGAUCCGUAACUGGUCUGAGAGGAUGAUCAGUCGCACUGGAACUGAGACACGGUCCAGACUCCUACGGGAGGCAGCAGUGGGGAAUAUUGGACAAUGGGCGAAAGCCUGAUCCAGCCAUGCCGCGUGUGUGAAGAAGGUCUUCGGAUUGUAAAGCACUUUAAGUUGGGAGGAAGGGCAGUAAGUUAAUACCUUGCUGUUUUGACGUUACCAACAGAAUAAGCACCGGCUAACUUCGU